rnacentral:rRNA from 1 species
UACGGAGGGGGCUAGCGUUGUUCGGAAUUACUGGGCGUAAAGGGCGCGUAGGCGGCCUUCUAAGUCGAACGUGAAAUCCCCGGGCUCAACCCGGGAACUGCGUCCGAUACUGGAAGGCUUGAAUCCGGGAGAGGGAUGCGGAAUUCCAGGUGUAGCGGUGAAAUGCGUAGAUAUCUGGAGGAACACCGGUGGCGAAGGCGGCUCUCUGGAACGCAACUGACGCUGAGACGCGAAAGCGUGGGGAGCAAACAGG